rnacentral:lncRNA from 1 species
UAGGUGCCGAUCUAGGAGCAGGUGUCGGUGUCAUCCUUGGAGCUGGCGUCGGAGCAGGCGUAGGAGAUGGCGCCGGUGGAGCCCUAGGUGCUGGGGUAGGUGCGGAUCUAGGAGCAGGUGUCGGUGCCGGUGUCGGUGCCAUCCUAGGAGAAGGAGUGGGAGCAGGCAUAGGAGAUGGCGCCUGUGGAGCCGUUGGUGCUAGUGGUAGGUGCGGAUCUAGGAGCAGGUGCCGGUUCCGGUGUCGGUGCUGUCCUUGGAGCAGGCGUGGGAGCAGGCGUAGGAGAAGGCGCCUGUGGAGCCCUAGGUGCUGGGGUAGGUGCAGAUCUAGGAGCAGGUGUUGGAGCCGUCCAUUGGAGCUGGCGUGGGAGCUGGCGUAGGAGAUGGCGCCUGUGGAGCCCUAGGUGCUGGGGUAGGUGCGGAUGUAGGAGCCGGUGUCGGUGCCGUCAUUGGAGAAGCCGUGGGAGCAGGCGUAGGAGAUGGCGCCUGUGGAGCCAUAGGUGCUGGGGUAGGUGCGGAUUUAGGAGCAGGUGCCGGUGCCGGUGUCGGUGCCGUCCUUGGAGGUGGCGUGGGAGCAGGCGUAGGAGAUGGCGCCUGUGGAGCCCUCUGUGCCGGGGUAGGUGCGGAUCUAGGAGCAGGUGUCGGUGCCGUCCUUGGAGCUGGUGUGGGAGCAGGCGUAGGAGAUGGCGCCUGUGGAGCCCUAGGUGCCGGCGUAGGUGCGGAUCUAGGAGCAGGUGUCGGUGCCGAUAUCGGUGCCGUCCUUGGAGCUGGCGUAGGAGAUGGCGCCUGUGGAGCCCUAGGUGCUGGGGUAGGUGCGGAUCUAGGAGCAAGUGUCGGUGCCGUCCUUGGAGCUGGCAUGGGAGCAGGCGUAGGAGAUGGCGCCUGUGGAGCCCUAGGUGCUGGGGUAGGUGCGGAUCUAGGAGCAGGUGUUGGUGCCGUCCUUGGAGCUGGCGUGGGAGCUGGCGUGGGAGCAGGCGUAGGAGAUGGCGCCUGUGGAGCCCUAGGAGCUGGGGUAGGUGAGGAUCUAGGAGCAGGUGUUGGUGUCGUUGUCGGUGCCGUCCUUGGAGGUGGCAUUGGCGCAGGCGUCGGAGAUGGCGCCUGUGGAGCCCUAGGUGCUGGGGUAGGUGCGGAUCUAGGAGCAGGUGUUGGUGCCGUCCUUGGAGCUGGCGUGGGCGCAGGUGUAGGAGAUAGCGCCUGUGGAGCCCUAGGGGCUGGGGUAGGUGCCGAUCUAGGAGCAGGAGUGGGUGCAGAUCUCGGAGCUGGUGAUGGUGCAAUCCUAGGAGCUGGCGUGGGAGCAGACCUUGGGGGUGAUCGCUUGGCCUGCGAAGAUGGCACAAGCACGAGUGCCACGACCAGGAGCAGGAGCCCAGGGUAAGUUAUAGACCUGGACGCCAUUGCUAGCCGCGGAUGC